rfam:Camelus ferus unplaced genomic scaffold scaffold820, whole genome shotgun sequence.
GAGGGUGUAGCUCAGCGGUAGAGCGCCUGCCUAGCAUGCCUAAGGCCCUGGGUUCAAUCCCCGGUACCUCCA